rnacentral:rRNA from 1 species
CCCUUAGAUGUUCUGGGCCGCACGCGUGCUACACUGAGUAAAUCAAUGGGUAAGGGAACACGAAAGUGCAACCUAAUCUUGAAAUUUGCUCGUGAUGGGGAUCGACGGUUGCAAUUUUCCGUCGUGAACGAGGAAUACCUUGUAGGCGCGUGUCAUCAUCACGCGCCGAAUACGUCCCUGCCCUUUGUACACACCGCCCGUCGCUCCUACCGAUUGGGUGUGCUGGUGAAAUGUUCGGAUCGGCCGUUUGUCGCGGUUUCCGCGUCAUGUGGCUGAGAAGUUCAUUAAACCCUCCCACCUAGAGGAAGGAGAAGUCGUAACA